UGGGGACGAUCAUGUCAAACUUGGGUCUUUUGGCUGGGUCUUCGUUCAUGCACAGUCUCAUCAGUUUACAGAUGUGAGGCGAAAUACCAGGAGGGAUGGUCGGCCGCAGACCCUCGAGGGCCACCUGAGGAGGAGAGGAGAGCUGCAAACCACAAGAGGGACAAGAAGCAGAGGGUUACCACUAGAUUAUACAGCACUGGGCGUCCCUUCCUGAACGACGGCCACAGGAAACAGAGGGGAACAAAUAAUAAAUACCUUCAGGGGCCAUCCAUGCUGGGGAAUACAUCCGACCAGGACACUGGAAGGAGAACUUUGCAUCAGCCAUGCUUAUUCUGGCUGUCAUGUCCUCGUCAAUCUGUCAAUGAAGCACAUUAGGUCAUUACAGGCCAGUCAGCAAGUCACCGCAUUAGUGUAGUAUAAUACAGCUGGAUGGUGCCUUACCAUUAUAUGCUUACUGUUGAGGUGUAGCCGUGAAACCAUCGGCUCUAAGGUAUGGAGGAAAGCCAUCCCACUGGCGAUGUCCAGUGCAAACUUCACGGCUUGGCACUGGUCAACCACCAGAGCUGAGGAUGAGUGAGAAGAUGAGAAAGAAAAAGAGUCUGUAAGAGAUAAAGGUCAAGAGCAUAGUGGAAUGAAACUGGGUGUGUCCUCCAUCUGCAGGAGAACUGUAAAUGUCUUACUAGUGCCCUGGUGCAGUAUGUUGUAGAGGGAUCCAUAGGGCAUGUAGUGGCUAAUGAUGAUGGGAUGAGGGGAGGGAGGUGACUGACAGGCCCCGAGGACAGGAAGAAUGUUUGGGUGAGAAAAGAUCCUACGAAGACAAUGGCACAAAGGAAGUGGGUGUGAUUUAACUAUUAAUACUGAAAAGACAUUUUCUAGAAGGAGGCCUUUCUCAGAUGAUAUGAUCUAUUUACUGUUGGGAAGCUGAUGUCAUUACUGUUGUAAUGAAUGCAUGUAGCACAUAAAGUAUUACAUGAUCCUGUUUUGAUUUACUGAC